rnacentral:rRNA from 1 species
ACUCAUCAGAGGCUCCGUAAUUCGAAUGAGUACAAUUCAAAUCCUUUAACGAGGAUCCACUGGAGGGCAAGUCUGGUGCCAGCAGCCGCGGUAACUCCAGCUCCAGAAGCGUAUAUUAAAGUUGUUGCAGUUAAAAAGCUCGUAGUUGGAUCUGGGUCGCAUGGCUACAUGCCGUUGCUUGUAUUCCUGGCUUGGUUACGACUGGGUCGGGUUUGCGAGUCGGUGUCGUGGUUGUGCAGCCUUUCUGCCGUGUCUGUUUCGACAGGUGCUGACUGAAUCGGUGGGCUUGUCUCGCUGGUUUGUUGGCAUGCUUCCGGAUGCCUUUAAACGGGUGUCGGGGGCGGACGGCACGUUUACUUUGAACAAAUUUGAGUGCUCAAAGCAGGCCUGUGUGCCUGAAAAUUCUUGCAUGGAAUAAUGGAAUAGGACUUCGGUUCUAUUUUGUUGGUUUUCGGAUCCGAAGUAAUGGUUAAGAGGGACAGACGGGGGCAUUUGUAUGGCGGUGUUAGAGGUGAAAUUCUUGGAUCGCCGCCAGACAAACUACAGCGAAAGCAUUUGCCAAGGAUGUUUUCAUUGAUCUGGAGCGAAAGUCAGAGGUUCGAAGACGAUCAGAUACCGUCCUAGUUCUGACCAUAAACGAUGCCAACUGACGAUCCGUGGUGGUUCUUUUAUUGUCCCCGCGGGCAGUCCCCGGGAAACCUUUAAGUCUUUGGGCUCCGGGGGAAGUAUGGUUGCAAAGCUGAAACUUAAAGGAAUUGACGGAAGGGCACCACCAGGAGUGGAGCCUGCGGCUUAAUUCGACUCAACACGGGAAAACUCACCCGGCCCGGACACUGUGAGGAUUGACAGAUUGAUAGCUCUUUCUUGAUUCGGUGGUUGGUGGUGCAUGGCCGUUCUUAGUUGGUGGAGCGAUUUGUCUGGUUAAUUCCGAUAACGAACGAGACUUUGGCCUGCUAAAUAGUAUGCCUGUCCUCUGUGCUCGUGCGGGCGGCGGUGCUCUCUGCCUCUUCUGGGGUGGUGGUGUCGUUUGCCGGCGGGUGCUGCGCAGGUGUCUACUUCUUAGAGGGACAAGCGGCGCGACAGUCGCACGAAAAUGAGCAAUAACAGGUCUGUGAUGCCCUUAGAUGUCCGGGGCCGCACGUGCGCUACAAUGACGGUUUCAGCGAGUUUGGAAUCCUGGCCCGAAAGGGUUGGGCAAACUGAAUCAUAACCGUCGUGACUGGGAUCGGGGUUUGCAAUUAUCCCCCGUGAACGAGGAAUUCCUGGUAAGUGCAAGUCAUAAGCUUGCGCUGAUUACGUCCCUGCCCUUUGUACACACCGCCCGUCGCUACUACCGAUUGAAUGGUUUAGCAAGGUCCUCGGAUUGGUGCCAGCGUAG